rnacentral:rRNA from 1 species
GGGGAAUAUUGCACAAUGGGCGCAAGCCUGAUGCAGCAACGCCGCGUGAGGGAUGACGGCCUUCGGGUUGUAAACCUCUUUUAGUAGGGAAGAAGCGAAAGUGUCGGUACCUGCAGAAAAAGCACCGGCUAACUACGUGCCAGCAGCCGCGGUAAUACGUAGGGUGCGAGCGUUGUCCGGAAUUAUUGGGCGUAAAGAGCUCGUAGGCGGCUUGUCGCGUCUGCUGUGAAAUCUGGUGGCUCAACCAUCAGCGUGCAGUGGGUACGGGCAGGCUAGAGUGCGGUAGGGGAGAUUGGAAUUCCUGGUGUAGCGGUGGAAUGCGCAGAUAUCAGGAGGAACACCGAUGGCGAAGGCAGAUCUCUGGGCCGUAACUGACGCUGAGGAGCGAAAGCAUGGGGAGCGAAC